AGAGGGGCUGGAGACUGAGCUCAACCGCCUCAAUGCCUCGGUCACUCAUCUCACACAGUAAGACCCCAAUAAAAACUCUGGAUACUGACACUUGGCUUUAUUUUCUGCAACAGCUGACCAAAAAAUGAGAUGAUGAGAAUAAACCUGCAUUCAACACCUGAUAGGAUCCAGGCACGAUACCAAGAGGUUUGCAUAUGCUAUCUUGAAUUCUUAAAGCUUUCUUGCUGAGAAAGAACCACUGUGUUCUUCAUCUUAUAGAUGAUAAAGCUGGAGAGGAGACACUGGCAGAACACAGAGACCAAGCAAAUCAGCAGCCUGUAAAAGGGAGCGUGAGGGGACCAAAUACUUCUCACGAGGCUGGGUUUCUUGAUCCAUUUACCUAAAUUCAUAUACUGUGCAUUUGUCUCAUAGAUUAUACAUUCAUGCCAUUCAGAUUCCUGGCCUCUAACAUUUGGAAGAGAUGACCUGUCAGGUGGCGGAAAGAGGCAUGAGGAAUGUAUAUGCAAUAUUCAAAACCUUUGUUUUCUAAUAUAAAGUGCAAUGAAAUAAUUUUAGAGGACCUUCAAAUAGGAUGACAAGCCUAUACAUGAUGUUUUGUUUUAUGACCAAACGGGCCCCACUGUUUUCAAGGGGCCCCGCUGUUAAAGGAGAAGCAGAAAUUUUGGGUAGAAAUGAUUGACCCCUGGCUCUCUCCUGGUUUUAGAACCAUUACUUUCAUGGUUUUGAGUUGGAAGGACUUACUUUUAACGUUUACUCAUGGCCCUAAAUUCUUCAAUGAUUGCAUUCAAGAAAAAAAAAGUCUAAGCUGCAGACUCAAAAUCAGAUUGCACAUAAAAAUCCCAAACAGUUUUCUUAUUAUUUGGUGACUUAAGCAAAACUGACCACCUCUUCCAGCACCCCUCCCUCAUCCUCCCCACCAAACACAUCCCUGAUUUUCCUCAGGGGCUCAGAGGGAA